rnacentral:lncRNA from 1 species
GCCAGGGCAGAAACAGUGUGGGGAGUGUAGGUGAGGAGGGAGAGAUGUCUUUUCGCUGUAUCCCUCCGGAAUUCUGGCUUUUAAAUCUCCAAGGAGUUGAGUGUUCUGAUGCUUUCUUGCUGUUCUUUCCUGCUACAAGUGGAAGGAGCCUGGGUAACUAUGAAACACUUCUUCCUUCCCUAACCAGGUGCACGGUAGGACCAAUAACCUGAAGUGUGGGCAUCAUCUUUGGGAGGCUCCUCAGUGGGUUUCUCAGUAAGCAAGAGGAUUAAAAAAGAUCUAAAAGAAAUUUUACUACUGGUAAUUUGGAAUCUUCAUCUCAGAUGCUUUGGACCUGGGAAAUUUCUGCAGUGGGUGGGGAGUUUGUUCUCUAAUAUUUCACUUGGCAGUGUUUUAAUGCCCAAAGCAUAUUUAUACACUAAAUGGAUGCUUCCACAGCAUCAUUGAGGUUAUUAAAGGCUGGCAGCUGCUGGAUCACAAAAUCCUACCAGCCAGCCCACACAAUGACCAACAUCUGCUAGCGGAUGGCCCAAGACUGACUGACAGGAGAGCUCAUUUGGAUGAAUGGCCGUUUUAGGGGCCCUCCCGAUUAAAUGGAAAGGGGUUAUAUUGUGAUUCUUGGCCCUAUCCUCUCAUCUUUGGACCAGACACAUUUUCCUCCAGCCCUUGUCAGCUUUUAUGUGAGCAAACAAGGUAUGGGCCAGAUGCUGUUCACAGGGAAUCCUUUUCAGCCUUCAGCAGUUAAGGAAGAUUUUCGUCAUAUGGGAGCCUCAGCCCACAGGGAAAAUGACUUGCUGAGG